UGAGAACACAGUAAAGGCAGCAAGCCUGGGC
rnacentral:piRNA from 1 species